rnacentral:lncRNA from 1 species
CUUUUAUAGUAUCGUGCUUGAUUGUAUAUUUGGAUUUAGUCAUAAAAUAUGCAUUUAUGCGCUCAUUAAUGCAUCUUUUAUAUAGUUGAAUGAAUGAAUGAAAUGUUAGUCCGUGUAUGUAUACCGAUGGUUACGACAAAAUGAAUGGGAAUGCGCGCCAGCUGCGAGGAGUUAGGCAGAAAAAUGUAACGCAACUUCCUCGAUUUUUACAGAACAACAGUUACAGAAAGGAUUGGGUAGUUAACACGAAUCACUCUAUUGCGCAUGAGCGUUACUUGGUCGACCUGAGUAGUGUGGUGUGGGGGUUCGAUUGUAAGUUGUCAACAGCCAGGUUGUUACGAAAGAAUGAGC